UACAUUUGCCUCGCUUUUGGUUUCUUGUUUUGUAAAAGAAAUGGAAUUAAAAAGGGAAUCUCGUUUAAAUCGAGAACUGUACCCGCAGCUGUAAGCUCUAAAAAAGCUUUUAACACUAUGUCACUGUCAAUAUUUUGAUGGGAAGACGUUAAAAGUAGAGUAAGUCAGAAAACCUGCCAAAAAGCAAAAUUUAUA
rnacentral:ncRNA from 2 species